AGUGACUCUUGGCAAGAAUAUCC
rnacentral:snRNA from 1 species